GAAACAUACACACUGUCGCAAUUGUCCUUCGGUCAUUCUUUGCAUGAGACUGCCGUAGAAAGAACCUAUGGCAAAAAAUUAUAGCUGUAGCAAUGGUUACCUGGGGAACUUUAAGUCUCAUUCCCAAAUCUUGGAGAAAUGUACAGUAUGAUUUGCGUAAAUAUGUCUCCUUCUUCAAGUCAAUCCCAUCUUGUUUAGAAGGUGAGAAUUCUUCUAAUUCCUUCCUAGAAAAAUACCAUCGAGAGCCAUCCUCCAACCCAUCCUGUGAGUGCUUUGAAUCACUAUUUUCAUACAACGCUUGAUGUGAUGGAUCACUAGAUGAUAAAUUCUCCAUAUGCAUAUCCUUUUAUAAAGCGGCUAAAGAGCAGAGAAAGAAUUGUGGGAAAAUUGCGAAGAGUCGAGCAAUUGCUGGACUGGACGGAGAUAAAUUAAGGGAGGGAAAAUGAGGGCUGAUGAAAAUGCCCAGAAGAAGAAGAAGAAAAAUUUGGCAAUGGAGGGUUAGGGUUUAUGAGGAAGAAAGAAUGAAAAGCAGUGGAGAGUGAGGUAAGCUGAAGAAUUUUGUUGGUGCUUCGAGUUCGAGUUCGAGGCUCGCCAUCUUCACGCUGCUUUUCCUUUCUUUCGUACGAUGGGAC
rnacentral:misc_RNA from 1 species